rnacentral:rRNA from 1 species
GACGAACGCUGGCGGCGUGCUUAACACAUGCAAGUCGAACGGAAAGGCCCUGCUUGCAGGGUACUCGAGUGGCGAACGGGUGAGUAACACGUGGGUGAUCUGCCCUGCACUUCGGGAUAAGCCUGGGAAACUGGGUCUAAUACCGGAUAGGAGCCAUUCUUAGUGUGAUGGUUGGAAAGUUUUUUCGGUGUAGGAUGAGCUCGCGGCCUAUCAGCUUGUUGGUGGGGUAAUGGCCUACCAAGGCGGCGACGGGUAGCCGGCCUGAGAGGGUGGACGGCCACAUUGGGACUGAGAUACGGCCCAGACUCCGACGGGAGGCAGCAGUGGGGAAUAUUGCACAAUGGGCGCAAGCCUGAUGCAGCGACGCCGCGUGGGGGAUGACGGCCUUCGGGUUGUAAACUCCUUUCGCUAGGGACGAAGCUUUUUGUGACGGUACCUAGAUAAGAAGCACCGGCUAACUACGUG